GAUGAACGCUAGCGAUAGGCUUAACACAUGCAAGUCGAGGGGCAGCACAAGGUAGCUUGCUAUCUGGGUGGCGACCGGCGCACGGGUGCGUAACGCGUAUGCAACUUGCCCUAUACAGGAGGAUAACCCGUCGAAAGACGGACUAAUACUGCGUAUGCUCACAACUUGGCAUCAAGUGGUGAGGAAAGAAAUUCGGUAUAGGAUAGGCAUGCGUCCCAUUAGCUUGUUGGUGAGGUAACGGCUCACCAAGGCAACGAUGGGUAGGGGAACUGAGAGGUUUAUCCCCCACACUGGUACUGAGACACGGGCCAGACUCCUACGGGAGGCAGCAGUGAGGAAUAGUGGUCAAUGGGCGCGAGCCUGAACCAGCCAAGUCGCGUGAAGGAUGACUGUCUUAUGGAUUGUAAACUUCUUUUAUACGGGAAUAACAAGAGUCACGGGUGACUCCCUGCAUGUACCGUAUGAAUAAGCAUCGGCUAACUCCGUG
rnacentral:rRNA from 1 species